GACGAACGCUGGCGGCGUGCUUAACACAUGCAAGUCGAACGGAAAGGCCCUGCUUUUGUGGGGUGCUCGAGUGGCGAACGGGUGAGUAACACGUGAGUAACCUGCCCUUGACUUUGGGAUAACUUCAGGAAACUGGGGCUAAUACCGGAUAGGAGCUCCUGCUGCAUGGUGGGGGUUGGAAAGUUUCGGCGGUUGGGGAUGGACUCGCGGCUUAUCAGCUUGUUGGUGGGGUAGUGGCUUACCAAGGCUUUGACGGGUAGCCGGCCUGAGAGGGUGACCGGGCACAUUGGGACUGAGGUACGGCCCAGACUCCUACGGGAGGCAGCAGUGGGGAAUAUUGCACAAUGGGCGGAAGCCGGAUGCAGCAACGCCGCGUGCGGGAUGACGGCCUUCGGGUUGUAAACCGCUUUCGCCUGUGACGAAGCGUGAGUGACGGUAAUGGGUAAAGAAGCACCGGCUAACUACGUG
rnacentral:rRNA from 1 species